rnacentral:rRNA from 1 species
AUUGAACGCUGGCGGCAGGCUUAACACAUGCAAGUCGAGCGGAGUGAUGGUGCUUGCACUAUCACUUAGCGGCGGACGGGUGAGUAAUGCUUAGGAAUCUGCCUAUUAGCGGGGGACAACAUCUCGAAAGGGAUGCUAAUACCGCAUACGUCCUACGGGAGAAAGCAGGGGAUCACUUGUGACCUUGCGCUAAUAGAUGAGCCUAAGUCGGAUUAGCUAGUUGGUGGGGUAAAGGCCUACCAAGGCGACGAUCUGUAGCGGGUCUGAGAGGAUGACCCGCCACACUGGGACUGAGACACGGCCCAGACUCCUACGGGAGGCAGCAGUGGGGAAUAUUGGACAAUGGGGGGAACCCUGAUCCAGCCAUGCCGCGUGUGUGAAGAAGGCCUUAUGGUUGUAAAGCACUUUAAGCGAGGAGGAGGCUCUUUUGGUUAAUACCCAAGAUGAGUGGACGUUACUCGCAGAAUAAGCACCGGCUAACUCUGUGCCAGCAGCCGCGGUAA